rnacentral:lncRNA from 1 species
AAUAGUUGGCGCGUUAGCUCUUUAGUUUGAAAUAAGGGGCGGAGCUUGAAGAAGCGAAGCGAGCCUAGAGUAGCAGCCUAUUACGUUUUUCAAGCCCCUUUACUUGAGAUUAUAUUAGUAAAGCGCUAGCGCCCCUAUAGAGUAAGGGUCUUCUGCUAUCAAUGAAACCGAAAGAAAGACAAAAACCCAGUAUAGAUCGAGACUUGUAGCUUGAUUCUUUACUCAUUCCAUAUUGGGAAGAAUUUCCUUGGACCACG